rnacentral:rRNA from 1 species
CCCUUAGAUGUUCUGGGCCGCACGCGCGCUACACUGGUGCAUUCAACGAGCCUAUCCUUGACCGACAGGUCCGGGUAAUCUUUGAAUCUGCAUCGUGACGGGGAUAGAUUAUUGCAAUUAUUAAUCUUCAACGAGGAAUGCCUAGUAGGCGCAAGUCAUCAACUUGCGUCGAUUACGUCCCUGCCCUUUGUACACACCGCCCGUCGCUCCUACCGAUUGAAUGUUCCGGUGAGCUCUUCGGACUGCGCGGUCUGCAGUUUCUGCGUUCCGCGCGGAAAGUUGCGCAAACCUUAACAUUUAGAGGAAGGAGAAGUCGUAACA